AUUAGACGAAUCAUCUGGAAAGAUGAAUCAAAGAAGGUAAUAAUCCUGUAGUCGAAAAUGUUGUCUCUCUUGAGUGGAUCCUGAGUACGACGGAGCACGUGAAAUUCCGUCGGAAUCUGGGAGGACCAUCUCCUAAGGCUAAAUACUCUCUAGUGACCGAUAGUGAACCAGUACCGUGAGGGAAAGGUGAAAAGCACCCCGGAAGGGGAGUGAAAUAGAACCUGAAACCGUGUGCUUACAAGUAGUCAGAGCCCGUUAAUGGGUGAUGGCGUGCCUUUUGUAGAAUGAACCGGCGAGUUACGAUUUGAUGCAAGGUUAAGCAGUAAAUGUGGAGCCGUAGCGAAAGCGAGUCUGAAUAGGGCGUUUAGUAUUUGGUCGUAGACCCGAAACCAGGUGAUCUACCCUUGGUCAGGUUGAAGUUCAGGUAACACUGAAUGGAGGACCGAACCGACUUACGUUGAAAAGUGAGCGGAUGAACUGAGGGUAGCGGAGAAAUUCCAAUCGAACCUGGAGAUAGCUGGUUCUCUCCGAAAUAGCUUUAGGGCUAGCCUCAAGUGAUGAUUAUUGGAGGUAGAGCACUGUUUGGACGAGGGGCCCCUCUCGGGUUACCGAAUUCAGACAAACUCCGAAUGCCAAUUAAUUUAACUUGGGAGUCAGAACAUGGGUGAUAAGGUCCGUGUUCGAAAGGGAAACAGCCCAGACCACCAGCUAAGGUCCCAAAAUAUAUGUUAAGUGGAAAAGGAUGUGGCGUUGCCCAGACAACUAGGAUGUUGGCUUAGAAGCAGCCAUCAUUUAAAGAGUGCGUAAUAGCUCACUAGUCGAGUGACACUGCGCCGAAAAUGUACCGGGGCUAAACAUAUUACCGAAGCUGUGGAUUGUCCUUUGGACAAUGGUAGGAGAGCGUUCUAAGGGCGUUGAAGCAUGAUCGUAAGGACAUGUGGAGCGCUUAGAAGUGAGAAUGCCGGUGUGAGUAGCGAAAGACGGGUGAGAAUCCCGUCCACCGAUUGACUAAGGUUUCCAGAGGAAGGCUCGUCCGCUCUGGGUUAGUCGGGUCCUAAGCUGAGGCCGACAGGCGUAGGCGAUGGAUAACAGGUUGAUAUUCCUGUACCACCUAUAAUCGUUUUAAUCGAUGGGGGGACGCAGUAGGAUAGGCGAAGCGUGCGAUUGG
rnacentral:rRNA from 1 species